CCUUCAUUCCCUACGUACGUACCAUGGAGACACUGCUCCCAAGCAGACACCAAGGCACAACAACCUGAACUCGAUGCUCUGCUAUCCUAACUCACAAGUAGAGCUAAAUUCACAGUUGACUCUCUCUCUCUCUCUCUCUCUCUCUCUCUCUCUCUCUCUCUCUCUCUCUCAUGCUGAAGAGCAUUCGAAUUUCCUCCACCGGUCGUUGUCGAACUUGUUUGGAUGAUGUUGUUGAAUUUACAUGAAUCCGUAUGUGUGGACGGAUUGAACUAGAAUUUAAUCUAAAUUAUAAUCUAAUUUACUCCAACAUAUAUGGAUUGAUGCCAAUCUAACUACGACAUGAAACAAACAAAUUCACUAUUUCCCGCUUGUCUAGCGUUUGCAUGGACCACGAUGAUGGCACUCGUACAUAAACUAGAGCCAAGCCCAGACAGUUUUAGGCAUUGAAUCUUUAAACACAUGCAUGAAACAUUAAUAUAGAUUAAAAAAUAAUUAAUUGUACAGUUUACUUAUAAUUUACGAGACGAAUCUUUAAAGCCUAGUUAGUCCAUAGUUGAACAAUAAUUAUCAAAUACAAAUGAAAAUGCUCGCGAACUAGGCCUUGCAGUUACUACUAGGUAGGUAGGAGUAGGAGUACCAACAAAAUAGAUGGAUCGGCAUCGUCAGUGCUGUGCUAUGCAAAGUGUGGUCCGUGGCCCCUGCUGUGCUGCUGCAUGCAUGUUUCCAGCAAACCACAGCAUGUAGCAGCAGUCCAAUGCAAGCCCAUCCACCGAUAUUGCCGGCCGCUGUUUUCUGCGGCUGUAUCAUGUGCAUGCACACAAUACCUAUGAUGUACGAAGCGGGGCGUGACGCCGCUCCAGCUAGCUCCGGCCGUGCAUCAGAUCAGAUCCUAUAUAUAUACACACACCACGCAUAUAUAUCAUCAGGAUAUAGGCAUUGUUUGCUCAUUACAUGCCUGCCCCGGCCCCGCCCCGUGUAGAGAGAGUCUGGACGUCAUGUCGGAAAUCCCUUUGCUACAGUGUCCAGAUAAUAUAUACUCCUACAAGAAAUUUUACAAUACUUGGAAAAAAAAUAUAUAAGUCAUUCAUAAAACGAGAUCGGACGGUGCAAACAUAGAAGAAAUAUAGGUCAUUCAUAAAAAUGAGAUCGGACGGGGCAAACAUAGAAGAGGUACUUACACGAAAGUACUCGUCUUUAACCAUUCUCUCCUUGUAAAAAAAAAAGAAAAACCAUUCUCUCACGACUCACGCUACUGGCCUAGUACUUGUUCAUGCUACUACUAUACUAGCUGCCUUGUUUAGUUCCCAAAAAAAUUUGCAAAAUUUUUCAGAUUCCCUAUCACAUGCAUCGAAUCUUUAGACGCAUGCACGGAGUAUUGAAUAUAGAAGAAAAUAAAAUCUAAUUACACAGUUUGGUCGGAAUUGACGAGACAAAUCUUUUGAGCCUAGUUAGUCCAUGAUUAAACAAUAUUUAUCAAAUACAAACGAAAGUGCUACAAUGUUGAUUCCCUAAAAUAUUUUGGAACUAAAUAAGGCCUGAGUACCCUCUCGUCCCUCCCCAUUUCCCACCUCCUUGCCGUUUUUCUUGUCUGAUGAAACCUCAAGUCCAGUUGACUGAGGUUUUAUUUAGUUUGCAAAAAAUAUGAAAUUUUUGAGUGCUUGUAUGGAAUAUUAAAUAUAGAUAAAAAUAAUUAAUUAUAUAGUUUAUAUAUAAUUUGCGAGAUAAAAUUUUUUAAACUUAGAUAAUAAUUAUUAAAUAUAAAUAAAAGUAUUACAAUAGUGGAACCUUUUCGCGAGCUAAACAAGACCUCACUACACAUGGUCGGGAGUGUUUUUCUCCGUUGCAUGCAAUGCAUAAUUCCGAUUCAUCCGUCUUUGGCGCUCGAUGUAUAAUAGUACGUCAUGCUCUGACGGUAGCAUUGCCCAUCUUUCGGUCAGCAAUCAGCAUGACAGCUAUCUAGGCUUUGUUUAGUUCCUAAAAAAUUUCUAAAAAUUCAAGAUUCUUCGUCACAUUGAAUCUUUAAACGCAUGCAUGAAAUAUUAAAUAUAUAUAAAAAUUAAUUAAUUACACAGUUUAUUUGUAAU
rnacentral:lncRNA from 1 species